rnacentral:lncRNA from 1 species
GAAGAGCAAACCAAAUCAAAACCAAACCACCUCCUUUUCUCUCGGGUUCGGAAGACCGGGCUGGAGGAUCGAGGGGCCUCCUGAUUAAUUAAUUAACUUGCUUGCUUCUUUCCUCGUUCGGAUAUCAUUUAUUCUCUGCCUUUCCGGUGCAUUUAAUCGUGAGUUAAUGAGUCGACCGUAACAUCGAUCUAUCUCUGUUGACGACUACGCUCAGCGUAAUUAUAGCCUACCUGUCUGCAGCGAGCUACUUAACUGGCUAGCUAGCUGUCUGGCCGGCCUUUUCUCCCUCCC